AUCGAUAAAAAAAGAGGUGUCUACAUCAAUGUCCUCUACAAGUCACUUAUCAAACCAGUGUUACUUCUUGGUAUAGCAAUAAUUCUAUUGACAACAAAGCAACUGGAGAUCCUAAUACAUGUGGAUGUUGUGCAGGAACAUCAGGCUCAGAGCCUCCAUGGCUUCAAAUUGACCUGGGAUCGGUUUAUACAAUCAGGAAAAUACAGAUAACUGGACGUCCAAACAAUAGUAAUCGAGAACAAUUUCAAAACAUAUAUGUUUACAUAAGCAACACGUCAAUGAUUUCAUUUACUGGAAGUUUAGUUUAUCAUGGGAAUUCUACUACUUAUAUAAUGUUUAAACUUCUUCAACAACCGCCCAUAUCGUUCCGUUAUCUGAUGAUCAGACGUUUUUAUACAAGUUACCUGAUGAUAUGUGAAGUAGAACUGUUCGAAGCAGAUCUUAAUAUCCUUCGCAGUACAACAUCUGCAACCACACAGCAGUCAAAUCAAUACGAAACAUGUAGCGCCGACCUUGCAAUUGACGGGACAGACUCACC